rnacentral:rRNA from 1 species
CCUACGGGUGGCAGCAGUAGGGAAUAUUGCUCAAUGGGGGAAACCCUGAAGCAGCAACGCCGCGUGGAGGAUGAAGGUUUUCGGAUUGUAAACUCCUUUUGUUAGAGAAGAGAAUGACGGGAUCCAACGAAUAAGCACCGGCUAACUCCGCGCCAGCAGCGGCGGUAAUACGGAGGGUGCAAGCGUUACUCGGAAUCACGGGGCGUAAAGAGCGCGUAGGCGGGAAAGCAAGUCAGAUGUGAAAUCCUAUGGCUAAACCAUGGAACUGCAUUUGAAACUGUUAUUCUAGAGUAUGGGAGAGGUAGGUGGAAUUCUUGGUGUAGCGGUGAAAUGCGUAGAGAUCAAGAAGAAUACUCAUGGCGAAGGCGGCCUGCUAGAACAUAACUGACGCUGAUGCGCGAAAGCGUGGGGAGCAAACAGGAUUAGAUACCCCAGUAGUC